rnacentral:lncRNA from 1 species
GAUGCUGAACGUUGCAAAGGUUGUGAGCUUCAGCCACCGGCAAGCAUCUCAACGAUGCGAUCCAAUGCUAGUCAAAUCAGGUUUAAUUCUUAACAUGAUGCGGAGCUUCAACCUCCGUCGGCACUUUUAUGUAGAGUCCCAAUCACAUCUUGAGCAUGAAUCGUUUAAGCGAUGUUAUCGUCAACCAUUUCUAGAUCAAGGCUAAAUUUCAUAUAUAUAUAUAUAUAUAUAUAUUCAUACAUAUAUUUGUGUGUGUGGGUGUGCCUCAUAGAUCUAAACUUUUUGUAUAGAAGGUCCACCAUGACUGACGCGACUGAGGUGAUACCUGAGUUAUUAUACGCUUGAAAAAUACCGAGUGCUGCCCGAUGGAUUGAUCCACAAAAGGUUGUGAGAAACGCUGUCGAGAUGCUCGAUAAGUUCUUCCCUCAGCGGAUGUGGUAAGUCUUUCUGCAUCAACCAGUGAGAGAAUUGGGUGAGUGAGAGGGUUGAUGCUGCUUGAAGGAAUUGGGUACCACGCAAUAAUACAAGUUAGAGUAUGUUUCGGGGGGCUUGGACCACAAAUGACCAAUUUCUGGAACUUUGUAGAUCUGGUGGAGCAGACGACGACAGAGUCGGUGAUUGUGAUAUUCGGUUCGAGGAGUAGUGGCAGUGGACACUGCAACCAAAGAUUUGAUGGUCGGGGGAUUUUUAGUAUGCUCUCAUCUGGACCGAGACUCCGCGUCGGACGGAUCACAUGCGCGCCAGCACAACUUCUGCUGUCGCUGCUGCUCGCAACCCUUUUUUUUCUCCCUGCAUCGACUGAAAAGUUGGUGGUGUUACAGCUCUGAUUCUUUUCCCCCAGGGUUUGCAUCCUUUCUCGACAGCUGCGUACAUGUGCGAACAGACAGUCGGUACUGGUUUUGUGUAAACUUACUGACUUUACCAUGGUGUAGAUUCGAGGCUCUAGCGAGAACAAUUUUCAUGUUUGUAUGGCUCACCUGGACUUAAACCUGUUUCUCAGGUUUUAAUAUAAUGUGAUGCAAUGCUUGACGUCUUGUUUUUGAAGCGAAAUACGAGCUACUGAUUCCUUGCGAACGUGGAGACGAAUAAUGGAAGGCAAUGAAAGAAAACGAAGCUACACGUUACAGUUGGGUUUGGUGUGGAGCUGGUUUGCAGGGGAAGCCUCUGAUCUGUGUAGGACCUAGAUGUACAGCUUUUGAUGGAAUGUGCAGGGCCCACGUCAGAAGGUCUUCGCACAGCUCAUUUCUCGUUAUUGCUUCAGAGAAACGACUGGCAUGCCACCUUCAUUACGUCGUCGGCAAGAAAACAGUAAAAAUAAAAAUAAAUAAAUAAACGCGUUAUGGAUCGUUUACUUCUUUUAGGAACCUAAUUCCGAUUCGGACCAGAAUUUGUUUUGAACAACCAACUCAU